UACGUAGGGUGCGAGCGUUAAUCGGAAUUACUGGGCGUAAAGGGUGCGCAGGCGGUUGAUUAAGUCAGAUGUGAAAUCCCCGGGCUUAACCUGGGAGCUGCAUUUGAGACUGGUCGGCUGGAGUGUGUCAGAGGGGGGUAGAAUUCCACGUGUAGCAGUGAAAUGCGUAGAGAUGUGGAGGAAUACCGAUGGCGAAGGCAGCAUCCUGGACCGGUAUUGACGCUGAGGCGCGAAAGCCAGGGGAGCAAACGGG
rnacentral:rRNA from 1 species